CACCCUCACCCUCACUCAUCUCAUAAACCCAACACUCUAGAUAGUACCCAUUUAACUCUUCACUCUAUCACUCUCUCUUCAAACCGACACUCAAGGUUCAACUAAGCUCCGUCAGUGUGGGGGAUUCAGCUCCAUCGGUGUUGGUGCUAACUGUAAGAGAUUCAACUUCAUCAACGAGGGGUUUUCGCUCUCUGGCACGGGAUUAGCAUCAU